GACAGAGGCCACAAGCGUUAGGCGGAAUCACUGGGCUUAAAGCGUGUGUAGGCGGAUCGUUAAGUGCCUUGUGAAAUCCCACAGCUUAACUGUGGAACUGCUUGGCAUACUGGCGGUCUUGAGCCAUCUAGGGGUUGCUGGAACAAAGCGGUGGAGCGGUGAAAUGCGUAGAUAUCGUUUGGAACGCCAAUGGUGAAAACAGGCAACUGGGGAUGUGCUGACGCUGAGACACGAAAGCCAGGGGAGCAAACGGG
rnacentral:rRNA from 1 species